rnacentral:rRNA from 1 species
CGAGAGAAUGCCGGUAUGAGUAGCGAGACCCAUGCGAGAAACAUGGGCGUCGAAGGCCCAAGGUUUCCUGGGGAAGGUUCAUCCACCCAGGGUAAGUCGGGACCUAAGCCGAGGACUGAGGUCGUAGGCGAUGGACAGCAGGUAGAGAUUCCUGCACCACUUACACUUGUUUGACGAAGCAGUGACACAGAAGGAUAGGACGAGCGCGGUGAUGGUCAACCGCGUAGGCGGCACAAGGCUGGGGAGCAGUAAAGUACACUUCCCGGGAAGGCUGAGUGCUGACAGGACCGAAAAAGAGUAGGGAAGCGUCUGAGUUCACGCUGGCGAGAAAAGCUGCUAAGGAGAGUGUGAGUGCCCGUACCGGAAACCGACGCAGGUGGGCGAGGAGAGAAUCCUGAGACGGACGGGAGAACUCUUGUUAAGGAACUCGGCAAAAUGACCCCGUAACUUCGGGAGAAGGGGAGCCUCGAAAGAGGCCGCAGAGAAUAGUCACAAGCGACUGUUUAGCAAAAACACAGGUAUCUGCGAAAGCGAGAGCUGACGUAUAGGUGCUGACGCCUGCCCGGUGCUGGAAGGUUAAGGGGAAGUGUUAGGGGAAACCCGAAGCAGAGAACCGAAGCCCCAGUAAACGGCGGCCGUAACAAUAACGGUCCUAAGGUAGCGAAAUUCCUUGUCGGGUAAGUUCCGACCCGCACGAAUGGCGUAACGACUUGUGAGCUGUCUCAACAGGAGGCCCGGUGAAAUUGAAGUAUGUGUGAAGAUGCACAUUACCCGCGACUGGACGGAAAGACCCCGUAGAGCUUUACUGUAACCUGACAUUGGAUCUUGAUAACGGAUGCACAGGAUAGGUGGGACGCUGGGAGGUAUGGACUUUGGUCUGUACGGAGCGGACGUUGGGAUACCACUCUUCUGUUAUUGAGAUUCUAACCUCAAGCCGUAAGCCGGAUGAGAGACAGUGUCAGGCGGACAGUUUGACUGGGGCGGUCGCCUCCGAAAGAGUAACGGAGGCGCCCAAAGGUACCCUCAGAGUGGAUGGAAACCAUUCGAAGAGAGCAAAGUCAGAAGGGUGCUUGACUGCGAGACCAACAAGUCGAGCAGGUACGAAAGUAGGGCUUAGUGAUCCGGCGGUAAGAGAGUGGAAUUGCCGUCGCUCAACGGAUAAAAGCUACCUCGCGGAUAACAGGCUGAUCUCCCCCAAGAGUUCACAUCGACGGGGAGGUUUGGCACCUCGAUGUCGGCUCGUCGCAUCCUGGGGCUGAAGCAGGUCCCAAGGGUUUGGCUGUUCGCCAAUUAAAGCGGCACGCGAGCUGGGUUCAGAACGUCGUGAGACAGUUCGGUCCCUAUCCAUCGUGGGCGAAGGACACAUGAGAGGAGCUGCUCCUAGUACGAGAGGACCGGAGUGGACGCAUCACUGGUGCAACUGUUGUCGUGCCAACGGCACAGCAGGGAAGCGAAAUGCGGAUGGGAUAAACGCUGAAGGCAUCUAAGCGUGAAGCCCACCUCAAGAAUAAGUGUCCCAUUCGAAAGAAGUAAGACCCCUGGAGGACUACCAGGUGAUAGGUCAUCGGUGAAAGAGCGGUAACGUUUGGAGCUUGAUGAUACUAAUCGGUCGAGGACUUGAUCU